rnacentral:rRNA from 1 species
CAGCAGCCGCGGUAAUACGGAGGGUGCAAGCGUUAAUCGGAAUUACUGGGCGUAAAGCGCACGUAGGUGGUUUGGUAAGUUGGAUGUGAAAUCCCCGGGCUCAACCUGGGAAUGGCAUUCAAGACUGUCAAGCUAGAGUCUGGUAGAGGGUGGUGGAAUUCCAGGUGUAGCGGUGAAAUGCGUAGAUAUCUGGAGGAACAUCAGUGGCGAUGGCGGCCACCUGGACUGAGACUGACACUGAGGUGCGAAAGCGUGGGUAGCAAACAGGAUUAGAUACCCUGGUAGUCCACGCCGUAAACGAUGUCAACUAGAUGUUGGGAGGGUUAAACCUUCUAGUGUCGCAGCUAACGCGAUAAGUUGACCGCCUGGGGAGUACGGCCGCAAGGUUAAAACUCAAAGGAAUUGACGG